rnacentral:rRNA from 1 species
GGAUUCCCCUAGUAACUGCGAGUGAAGCGGGAAAAGCUCAAAUUUAAAAUCUGGCGGUCUUUGGCCGUCCGAGUUGUAGUCUGGAGAAGUGCUUUCCGCGCUGGACCGUGUACAAGUCUCUUGGAAUAGAGCGUCAUAGAGGGUGAGAAUCCCGUCUUUGACACGGACUACCAGUGCUUUGUGAUGCGCUCUCAAAGAGUCGAGUUGUUUGGGAAUGCAGCUCAAAAUGGGUGGUGAAUUCCAUCUAAAGCUAAAUAUUGGCGAGAGACCGAUAGCGAACAAGUACCGUGAGGGAAAGAUGAAAAGCACUUUGGAAAGAGAGUUAAACAGUACGUGAAAUUGCUGAAAGGGAAACGCUUGAAGUCAGUCGCGUCGACCGGAACUCAGCCUUGCUUCGGCUUGGUGCAUUUUCCGGCUGACGGGCCAGCAUCGAUUUUGACCGUUGGAAAAGGGCUGGAGGAAUGUGGCACCUUCGGGUGUGUUAUAGCCUUCAGUCGCAUACAACGGUUGGGAUCGAGGAACGCAGCGCGCCUUAUGGCUGGGGUUCGCCCACAUUCGCGCUUAGGAUGCUGGCAUAAUGGCUUUAAACGACCCGUC